rnacentral:rRNA from 1 species
AAUGGGCGCAAGCCUGAACCAGCCAUGCCGCGUGAAGGAUGACGGCCCUAUGGGUUGUAAACUUCUUUUGUACGGGAAAAAACCACCGGUCGUGUAUCGGCGCUGAUGGUACCGUAAGAAUAAGCAUCGGCUAACUACGUGCCAGCAGCCGCGGUAAUACGGAGGAUGCAAGCGUUAUCCGGAUUCAUUUGGUUUAAAGGGUGCGCAGGCGGAAUAAUAAGUCAGCGGUUAAAGCCUACAGCUUAACUGUAGAACUGCCAUUGAUACUGUUAUUCUUGAGUGUUGUUGAGGAAGGCGGAAUUUGUCAUGUAGCGGUGAAAUGCUUAGAUAUGACACAGAACACCGAUCGCGAAGGCAGCUUACCAAGCAACAACUGACGCUCAUGCACGAAAGCGUGGGGAUCAAA